GUCGAACGAUUAAAGCUCUCUUCGGAGAGUGUAUAGAGUGGCGCACGGGUGAGUAACACGUAAGUAAUCUACCUUCGAGUGGGGAAUAACGUCCGGAAACGGACGCUAAUACCGCAUAAUGCAGCGGCAUCUUAUGAUGACAGUUGUUAAAGGAGCAAUUCGCUUGAAGAGGAGCUUGCGGCAGAUUAGCUAGUUGGUAAGGUAAUGGCUUACCAAGGCUACGAUCUGUAACCGGUCUAAGAGGACGGUCGGUCACACUGACACUGAAUAACGGGUCAGACUCCUACGGGAGGCAGCAGUCGGGAAUUUUGGGCAAUGGGCGAAAGCCUGACCCAGCAACGCCGCGUGAAGGAUGAAGUAUUUCGGUAUGUAAACUUCGAAAGAAUAGGAAGAAUUAAUGACGGUACUAUUUAUAAGGUCCGGCUAACUACGUGCCAGCAGCCGCGGUAAUACGUAGGGACCAAGCGUUGUUCGGAUUUACUGGGCGUAAAGGGCGCGUAGGCGGCAUGACAAGUCACUUGUGAAAUCUCCGGGCUUAACUCGGAACGGUCAAGUGAUACUGUCGCGCUAGAGUGCGGAAGGGGCAAUCAGAAUUCUUGGUGUAGCGGUGAAAUGCGUAGAUAUCAAGAGGAAUACCUGAGGUGAAGACGGGUUGCUAGGCCGACACUGACGCUGAAGCGCGAAAGCCAGGGGAGCAAACGGGAUUAGAUACCCCGGUAGUCCUGGCCCUAAACGAUGAAUACUUGGUGUCUGGAGUUU
rnacentral:rRNA from 1 species